rnacentral:rRNA from 1 species
GAUGAACGCUGGCGGCGUGCCUAACACAUGCAAGUCGAACGGAGAAUAAGAGGAAGCUUGCUUUUUCUUAUUCUUAGUGGCGGACGGGUGAGUAACGCGUGAGCAACCUGCCUUUCAGUGGGGGAUAACGUCUGGAAACGGACGCUAAUACCGCAUGACACAUGACUGUGGCAUCACAGACAUGUCAAAGGAGCAAUUCGCUGAAAGAUGGGCUCGCGUAUGAUUAGAUAGUUGGUGAGGUAACGGCCCACCAAGUCGACGAUCAUUAGCCGGACUGAGAGGUUGAACGGCCACAUUGGGACUGAGACACGGCCCAGACUCCUACGGGAGGCAGCAGUGGGGAAUAUUGCGCAAUGGGGGAAACCCUGACGCAGCAACGCCGCGUGAAGGAU